CCAUAACUUCCCCUAUUAUAUCCCAUCAUCCAAAACCUGUCCUAUUUCCAUAUAACUCCUUAUAUAGGGUAAAAUAAUUCAAUUGUGCAAAUCUCUUUCAACAUUCUCCAAAUACUGACGUCUUCUUAAAAAAAUUGUCAGAGUUCAUCAGGAAGAGUUCAUCAGCAAUAUCACGAUUCAAAAAAUGCCAUGGAAAACACUUAUCUUUGCAUUAACCAGACGUUUGAAUUUGACAAAGAUCGCCUUAAUCGUCGCAGUUAUUCUAUUAUUCAGGUACUUAUGUUUGAAUUUUUCUCUUUGUGUGGAUUAUAUACUUUCUAAGUUAGAAAUUGUUGUCUAUAGGCAUGCGUUGUUGUACUUUAUAAUAUUGACUUUGAUAUUAUGAUUCAUCAAUGUUGUUGGUUAUUUUUUGUCUGUUAAAUUAUUUUUCUCAGAGAAUCAUUUCUACAUUGUGAAUGGUUGGUUGUGUCAUUGGAUUUCAAAGUCAUACUCUGUGUGUUUGAUUUCUCACAAGUGGAACUGCAAUCCUUCGGUGAAAUAUGUGGAAAAAUUCUUUGACUCAUUCUGUGUAUCAGGACGGUUCAAAGCUUUGACUCAUUCUUUGAGUAGUAUGUUACUAAUUGAGGGAGGAAUCUACAGAUUGAUUUAAAAUAAGAAGUCUUCCAGUAUAAAACAAGUAUAUUGCUGCAGUUUGAAGGUAGAUUCUUUCUCUUAUUUUGUCGGUUGAACUUACUAUAUAGUAAUAGAUACGAAAACUUUAUUAUUUUACCUAUUGAAGAAGAAGCAGAUAAGUAUUGUUUAAUGAUGCCUAAAAAAAUCGAACUUAUUAUAUAGUAAUAGAUAUGAAAACUUUAUUAUUGUACAUGUUGAAGAAUACGCAGAUAAGUUUUGUUUAAUUAUGCCACAAAAAUCGAAUAGGUAAUUAAAGUCGGAGGCAUUACAACAGAAAAUUGAUCAUGCUUACUAAACUUCAAAGGUUGUUGUAGGAAGGUACUGAUUCUGCGCCAAUACUCCCUUUUCUCUUAAUACAUUACAGUUUUGAAGAUGGUUACAACUUACCUACUUAUCCUUUUUUGUCAUAAUUGAAGGAGUUCUCAAAUACGCAGUAUUGCAUUUCUUAGGUCACCUAAUUUUGAGUAUCUGUAUUUGUUUUCUGGCUCAAGUAUUCUUAGCUGUUUAUGUAAUCAAUGAUCUACUGAUGAGCCCAUCUUUGAAAGCCUUGGUAUGGGCCUUGCCAUCAAAUUGAAAUAACUGCCCUCUUUUGAGGAAAACGUUGUUCCGAUUAGUCUCAUUCAUGUGAAUAGGUUCCUGCUCUCUUGCACUAUUACAUAUAUAUCAAUUUUGCACAGUUGCUGAUUAAUAGACUUGCCUAUGCUAAUCCUAUUAUUCAAUUUACAACUUACUAUGUGGUUGUUGAUGAGUCAGUUGGAAGACAAUUUGCAAUAGUUUUUUUGGAGCGUGUUAAGAUGAUUUUGGGUCAAACUAUGGGAUGAAAACGUUGUAACUACUCGUCAGAAAAUUGAUCAUGCUUACUUAACUUCAAAGGUUGUUGUAAGAAGCUUACUAUGUGGUUGUUGAUGAGUCAGUUGGAAGACUAUUUGCAAUAGUCUUUUUGGAGCGUGUUAAGAUGAUUUUGGGUCAAACUAUAGGGAUGAAAACAUUGUAACAACUCGUCCAAAUAACCUGAACAAGGAAUUCAAGUUAUUUAAUAUUAAAAUUUACUGUAAUAUUAUGUAAGGGCAGAAGGCAGAAUUUUCUAUUAAGUCAUUUAAUUACAGUACUCUCUUAAGCAUAUUCCUAAGUUUAUGAAGCAUAUGCAGUAUUGUGCUAAACAUCCUGAAGAAGUAAUUGUUGCAUUCUAUGACUUUUUCAAAGUGGAAAAGAUGCCUGUCAGCGACACUGAAAUUGGUGAAUCGCAUAUUGCUAGCACCAUCUAUGCUACUUUGCCACUGUUUUUUUUUUUUUUCACUAACACCUUCAAGAUUGAGCAUUUCUCCAACCCUCCCUCUGUGUUCUUGUGGGUGUUUAAUCAAAUUCCAAGCUCAUUUUAAAAGAAUCACAUCUUUUAUGUCUUUAUAGUGUUGAGGAGGUCAAGAAUGGCUGAAAAAAGUUGAGUAUGGCUGAAAAAAGUUGAGUUUUGGGGUUGGAACUCAGAAAACGGUGGAGCUGCAGCAACAAGAUUGCAAUAGCUGAGAAGUACAUGAAGUAUAGGGACUGUAAACAACCGGUUGGGGUUAGAGUUAAAGAUCUUCUUGAUCGAAUGAUCCUUGAAGAAAGCAUAGGCCAAAUAAUUUUGAUUGAUAAGACUAAAUCUAUAAUUAAAAUCAUGAAGCACUACUAUUAUGUCGGAACAUUUUUAAAUCUUUAAAAUGCAGCCAUUUUCAUAGUUUAAA